AAUCAACGCUGGCGGCGUGCCUCAGACAUGCAAGUCGAACGAUUAAAGCUCUCUUCGGAGAGUGCAUAGAGUGGCGCACGGGUGAGUAACACGUAAGUAAUCUACCUUCGAGUGGGGAAUAACGUCCGGAAACGGGCGCUAAUACCGCAUAAUGCAGCGGCAUCGCAAGAUGACAGUUGUUAAAGGAGCAAUCCGCUUGAAGAGGAGCUUGCGGCAGAUUAGCUAGUUGGUAGGGUAAUGGCCUACCAAGGCUACGAUCUGUAACCGGUCUUAGAGGACGGUCGGUCACACUGACACUGAAUAACGGGUCAGACUCCUACGGGAGGCAGCAGUCGGGAAUUUUGGGCAAUGGGGGAAACCCUGACCCAGCAACGCCGCGUGAAGGAUGAAGUAUUUCGGUAUGUAAACUUCGAAAGAAUAGGAAGAAUUAAUGACGGUACUAUUUAUAAGGCCCGGCUAACUACGUGCCAGCAGCCGCGGUAAAGUCGAUAACG
rnacentral:rRNA from 1 species